GGCCCGUUAGCUCAGUCAGUUGAGUGUGGCACUAACAACACCAAGGUCGUGGGUUCAAUUCCCAUUUGGUCCC
rnacentral:tRNA from 1 species